AUACGGAGGGUGCAAGCGUUACUCGGAAUCACUGGGCGUAAAGCGCGCGCAGGCGGCUAUUUAAGUUGGAUGUGAAAGCCUACGGCUCAACCGUAGAACUGCAUCCAAAACUAUUUAGCUAGAGUGUGGGAGAGGAAGAUGGAAUUAGUUGUGUAGGGGUAAAAUCCGUAGAGAUAACUAGGAAUACCAAAAGCGAAGGCAAUCUUCUGGAACACUACUGACGCUGAGGCGCGAAAGCGUGGGGAGCAAACGGGAUUAGAAACCCGGGUAGUCC
rnacentral:rRNA from 1 species